rnacentral:rRNA from 1 species
GAUGAACGCUAGCGGCAGGCCUAAUACAUGCAAGUCGGACGGGAUCCAUUGAUAGCUUGCUCUCAAUGGUGAGAGUGGCGCACGGGUGCGUAACGCGUGAGCAACCUGCCUCCAUCAGGGGGAUAGCCUCUCGAAAGAGAGAUUAACACCGCAUAAUAUCAACAGUUCGCAUGUUCAGUUGAUUAAAUAUUUAUAGGAUGGAGAUGGGCUCGCGUGACAUUAGCUAGUUGGUAGGGUAACGGCUUACCAAGGCGACGAUGUCUAGGGGCUCUGAGAGGAGAAUCCCCCAAACUGGUACUGAGACACGGACCAGACUCCUACGGGAGGCAGCAGUAAGGAAUAUUGGUCAAUGGGCGGAAGCCUGAACCAGCCAUGCCGCGUGCAGGAUGACUGCCCUAUGGGUUGUAAACUGCUUUUGUCCAGGAAUAAACCUAAAUACGAGUAUUUAGCUGAAUGUACUGGAAGAAUAAGGAUCGGCUAACUCCGUG